rnacentral:sRNA from 1 species
AGAGUCAAAGAGUGCUUGA